AAUAUUUCCUAAAAAAUUAUACCAAUUACUAAAAUUUCAAAUCCUAGCAAUAAUGUUAACCACGUAAUUCAAGGUUUGUAUACUUGAAAAUGUUAAUUUCAAUCAUUUUUUAUAAAUUUGCUAAUAUAUUUAUAUCACUAAUUGUAUUUAAAAUCAAUAAUAAAUAGCUCUAAUUCUAAACUCAUUUUUUCAAAGUCUUACUAACUUAUUUCCUUAUUUGUUCCUAUCUAUUUAAUAGUAGUAUAAUCUACAACCUGAUAUCAAGGAUUAUCAAAUCAUCAACAAAGAAAAUCUAUAUUUCCCAAACAAACGUUUGUAUAUAGACAUUCUCUUAAUAUUAUACACGGAAUCUCAAGAGCAUAUUCCAAUACUGAAACUAAAUUUUACGUAACUAGCAAGAUUGUAUAAGAUUUAUUGUUUUAAAACCUAUAAAAUUAUUUAUGAAUUCGCCGACUUCUUUUUAGUAUAAAUAUUGUAGUGAUCUAUAUCAUUUCCAAUUCACCGAAACCUCUUAAAUCUCUUUUAUUCCAAAAUCGAAACAUACACACAAAAGAGAAAAAAUAUUGAGUGACUACAAAGUGUCAAAGAUAAAAUGUUAGAUGGAAACCUGAAUGUUAAGAGAAGCGUGUGAUGGUGUGUAUCAAAAGUUGUUGGAACUUUGCAUCCAUUUUCGUUUGAACUUUCUUAAAAAUCUUAUGCUUUUGUUUUGUCUUUACUAUUUUCCUGACAUGAUACAUAUUUAUUGUGUUUAAUUGAGGAUA